rnacentral:rRNA from 1 species
CCUACGUGUGGCAGCAGUGAGGAAUAUUGGUCAAUGGGCGCAAGCCUGAACCAGCGAAGUAGCGUGAAGGAUGACUGCCCUACGGGUUGUAAACUUCUUUUAUAAAGGAAUAAAGUGAGGCACGUGUGCCUUUUUGUAUGUACUUUAUGAAUAAGGAUCGGCUAACUCCGUGCCAGUAGCCGCGGUAAUACGGAGGAUCCGAGCGUUAUCCGGAUUUAUUGGGUUUAAAGGGAGCGUAGAUGGGGUGUUAAGUCAGGUGUGAAAGUUUGAGGCUCAACCGUAAAAUUGCAAUUGAUACUAGCAGCCUUGAGUACGGGUGAGGUAGGCGGAAUUCGUGGUGUAGCGGUGAAAUGCUUAGAUAUCACGAAGAACUCCGAUUGCGAAGGCAGCCUACUAAACUGCCACUGACAUUGAUGCUCGAAAGUGUGGGUAUCAAACAGGAUUAGAUACCCUGGUAGUC